rnacentral:rRNA from 1 species
ACUCCCAACCCCUGUGACAUACCUUA